rnacentral:rRNA from 1 species
AACUUUCAACAACGGAUCUCUUGGUUCUGGCAUCGAUGAAGAACGCAGCGAAAUGUGAUAAGUAAUGUGAAUUGCAGAAUUCAGUGAAUCAUCGAAUCUUUGAACGCACAUUGCGCCCCUUGGUAUUCCGGGGGGCAUGCCUGUUCGAGGGUCAUUA